UUUACGCAGGUGGAUAAUUAAGUCCAAUCUUAAAGCCCGCGGCUCAACUGCGGAAAUGGAUUGGAUACUGGUUAUCUUGAGGACAUCAGGGGAGACUGGAAUUCUCGGUGGAGGGGUGAAAUCCGUUGAUAUCGAGAGGAACGUCGAUGGCGAAGGGCAAGGUCUCUGGGGUGUUCCUGACACUCAUGUACGAAAGCUAGGGUAGCAAACG
rnacentral:rRNA from 1 species